AUGCGCCGCAGCACACCGCUGGAUCCUGGGUCAGAGUCUCUUACAGAAAAAACUCUGGAGCCGCAGUGGGAAGGACCAUUUCAAGUAUUACUUACCUCCUUCACCGCGAUUAGGAUCAAGGAACAGAGCGCCUGGAUCCAUCACACUAGGGUGAAGAAAGCACCCAAAGGACAAUGGACUUCACAAGAAAAGGGACCUUUAAAGCUCAAAUUUGGGAGACAUUGAUUGUCAUGCUCCUGAGUUGGACCUUGCCCAAGGGGCAGGCUUGGGAUCGAAAUACUUAUUUAAAUAUAACAGAGAGUAUCUCGAAAGUACUAAAUUUAUCAGACUGUUGGGUAUGCAAUCCCCUUCCUCGGGGGAACAUGGAACUCCCCUUUUUAGGAAUCCCGACCACAAAUUGGACAUCUCUUAGUAAGGACGGGCCAGACAGGAAUGGAUCAUGCCCUUAUGGAAAGGGGAAUACCCAGCGGGGACCCAGCUUUGAUCUGGAGGUACCUGACCCUAAAGAGGUCUUAAUUACUGGCUGUUGCUUAAAUAUUACUGAUAAUAUUUGGGGAGACAUGGAUAAUUGUAGCCUUGCGGAAAAUCUGGGAACUUUUGAUAAAGGAAAAUUAGAAUGUCUUGGACUGAACUUAACUAUCAGUUUCUAUUAUAUCCGGAAACCAAAGAGGGGGCCAG